rnacentral:rRNA from 1 species
AACGAACGCUGGCGGCGCGCCUAACACAUGCAAGUCGAACGAGAAGGCGUAGCAAUACGCUUGUAGAGUGGCGAACGGGUGAGUAAUACGUGGGUGACCUACCCUCGAGUGGGGAAUAACCCGCCGAAAGGCGGGCUAAUGCCGCGUACGCUUCCGUCCUCACGGGGACGGAAGGAAAGCUGUACCGUGGGUACGGCGCUCAAGGAUGGGCUCACGUCCUAUCAGCUUGUUGGUAGGGUAACGGCCUACCAAGGCUACGACGGGUAGCUGGUCUGAGAGGACGAUCAGCCACACUGGCACUGCGACACGGGCCAGACUCCUACGGGAGGCAGCAGUGAGGAAUAUUGCGCAAGUGGGCGAAAGCCUGACGCAGCGACGCCGCGUGGGGA